CAACUUUCAGCAACGGAUCUCUUGGCUCUCGCAUCGAUGAAGAACGCAGCGAAAUGCGAUAAGUAAUGUGAAUUGCAGAAUUCAGUGAAUCAUCGAAUCUUUGAACGCACCUUGCGCCCCUUGGCUAUUCCGAAGGGCAUGCCUGUUUGAGU
rnacentral:rRNA from 1 species